UACGGAGGGUGCGAGCGUUGUUCGGAAUUACUGGGCGUAAAGGGCGCGUAGGCGGUUCGUUAAGUCCUGUGUGAAAUCCCCCGGCUCAACUGGGGAGCUGCACAGGAAACUAGCGGGCUUGAAUCCGGGAGAGGGAUGCGGAAUUCCAGGUGUAGCGGUGAAAUGCGUAGAUAUCUGGAGGAACACCGGUGGCGAAGGCGACAUCCUGGACCGGUAUUGACGCUGAGGCGCGAAAGCCAGGGGAGCAAACGGG
rnacentral:rRNA from 1 species